CAUUCAACACGUCCAACUAGCUACUUAGUCACGAGACACUGAUGGCGGUUGCAGAUUCCAAAUCAAGAUCUUCAGAAGUUUACCUUGUUUAGCAAGUUAGCUAGCUAACAUUAACAAUCAGUCAGAGUUAUCUAACAAGCAAGCAAAAUCAACGAAAAUGGUGAGGCCAACAAGCACUAACCCGCACCACACACAAUAGCUAAUGUUAACGAACUUGUUAUUUCAGAUCGCUUGACAUGAUAUAUAUAGGCAAGCUUGCUAACACCCGAUCGCUGUCCCAUGGUGCUGAAAUACAAAGGUAGCUAGUUUAGCUAUGUUUUUUUGUUGCUAUUAGCUUGAAGCUUUAGGCAUACCAACAAUGACAAUUUCUAUACUUCCAUAAUCAAUAAAAAAUAGCUAAGAAACUUGCCUUAUCAAAUGUCAAUGGGGUCAGGGUCAAUAUGCCCAGAAACAUGGGUCAUCCACUCAGGGCUGUUUCAAGCAUUUUCUUUUUUUUGGGGGGGGGGGGGGGCACCUCAUAGGCAAAACAUUUAAGUGGCAGUGGAGAGAGAAAUCUGCAGCUUUAAAGCUAUUUUCCUGAAAUUCUACACAUUUUCACCUAUGGUUGAGAGAAAAAUCCAGUUUUAAAGCUAUUUUCCUGCAAUUAUACACAUUUUAAAUUGGGAUGGAGGAAACAUUUAGCAGUUUUAAAGCUAAUUUCCUGAUAUUCUACACAUUCUACUACAGAUAUCUGAGUGAGAGUGACUAACAAAAUCAAUGGAGGCCCCCUGGAGGUCAGGGCCCCUAGGCACGUGCCUUGAGUGCCUGGUCAGUAAUUCGACCAUAAUUACUACAAGGUUUAGAUAGCUGGUUCGACUAACUCACCUAGCAAACUAUAAAAUGUUAGUUGACAUGGGCUAAUUGCAAUCCAGACUGUAUCACAACCAGCCGUGAUUGGGAGUCCCAUAGGGCGGCGCACAUUUGGCCCAGCGUCGUCCUGGUUUGGCCGGUGUAGGCCGUCAUUGCAAAUAAGAAUUUGUCCUUAACUGACUUGCCUAGUUAAAUAAAGGUUAAAUAAAUAAAAAAUAUAUAACGAUUGACUGUCAGUGACUGACUUUAAAAUAGGACAACUGCUGAUGCACUUCCAGUGGACGCUAUGGGAUAACAGCCACUAUUGUACCAUAACCAUUUAAUUUGUACAGCAUUAGUCUCUCCAACAAGCCUGAAACAGUGUAAACAAGGACAAGGGCUAACUGAUGCCUUGGACCGUGCAAUGGAGGAUAUUACAGCACUAGAGAUCUCUACACCUUCUUCUCUUGAUAAGUCCAGCGAGGACUCACUCAGUCACUCACAAACAAAACUCCAAUUUGAGGAACCACUUGUCAGGCAAGAGAAGUCAAGGCAUAAAAGGGAGGGCUUUGCACUGUCAAGCAAAUCCGAAGCUCCAUUCCCUAAAGAUCUACUUGAAGUUUUAGGUUAGUAUUAAAACACUAAUUAUUAAAGACUAGUAUUAAAACACUAAGUAUUAAAGAUUAGUAUUAAAACACAACUUGUGAUGUUCACACGCUGGUGGUUAUUUUUCAUUUUGCCACAUUUCAAUGUUCAACAAAAUGAAUGUUUAAGAUCAGCCCUUGUACUAGUUUAAAGACACAAAGCUAUCACAUAAAGGAGAUGGCAAACACCAACCACUCAAAGCCUGCAUUGUGUCCCCUGCAAAGGGACUUCAGAUAUCCAGACUCUGGAGGAUCUAGUGGCUAAACUGGAGUUUGAGAAUGAGCUGCACCGUGUGUGUGGGAAUCAGGACGUAGACAAGGAGUUUCUAUCACCAGAGGAACACAGUUCAGACAGCUUAGUAGAGGACAGAAGCAGCAGCAAUGGAGAUGUGUCCAGUUCAGAGGAGGACCACUGCAUGUUAGAGAUUGUGUUGCAGAUGGAAAGGGAGUAUGAUCUUUCUGUUUAUUACAAUGACUUCUGUACUCAAUGACAAGGCCCUCAUUCAGCCAGUUAUCUGUACACAGAGCAUCGUGACAUAGGUUUCUGUUGAUAACAACUCCUAAGGAAAGAUUUUCAAGACAAACCUGUCUGAAAUUAGGAUUAAAUCUGGGCUCACUUUACAGUACAUAAAACAAUCCGAGAAGUGAAUUAUUCAGUAGCAAACUUGCAGUUUUUUAUGUAUCCAUCUCUACUUUAUUUUGUAAAGACAUCUAGGCUGUCAUAUUUCAUUGGUUCAAGUUACUGUAGUUUCUGUUUUUUAUACACCAUUAAUUCAGUUUAUAGUAUUUAUAACCAAUAUUAAAACUAUUUGAUUGUAACAAUCUAUAGAACAUUGCUCUGUUGUAAAACCGUAACUUUGAUUGUAUGUUAAUAUCAACCAUCAACCUGUUAUUACUCCUCAAAUGUAGAAUUACAUUUGAGAAAUGAAAACCAAUAAAAACAUGUUUUUAUUACA